rnacentral:lncRNA from 1 species
UUAUUCCUGAGUAAGCAUGAUUCCUUUGUUUGCUUCUAGUUGGUAAUUUCGAAUUCUCAGACUUGUAUAGAUAGGAAUCCAAAUUCAAAUCAAUUGUUUUGUUUUUAUUAGAAUCAUUAUUGUUGUUGCUCAAGGUUCUUGAGUUUGGGUGUCCAAAUCAAAUUUUGGAUUCUUUUGAUUCAACUGUUUGUUAUGUUUAAAAUGAUUUCGUGUUCUGGAAAUAUGUUCCUUUCCUUUAUGAAGCUUUUGAACUUGUGUUGUUACUUCAAGAGUCGAAUUAAAACUUUCAAAAUCAAGUUUUAAGGUUGCUGCAAAUUUCCAGAAUUCUGUAAAAAAACUUAUUUUCUUACCUACUUUGAGGCAUGAUAUCUUUCAGCUCAGGCCUUUGUUUUGAAAUCCGAAAGUACCUUUGUAAAGCUCAUAUAUUCAUCUUUGUGUGUGUUAAAUUUUAGAGGAUUUGGUUAACAUUUGGUUUGUCAAAUUGCUUGCCAAAAACAGUAGCAGAUUUAGCCAAAAGCUGAAUUUUCUGUGUUUUCAUAUUUUUGCUUCAACUUUGAGAGAGCAUAACUUCCUAUCUAGGGCUUUGUUUUCAAAACUUAAGCUAUGUACUUAAAGCUUGUAAUCCCAUCGUUACAAUAGGCUUUGGUUCAUAAAUUUUUUUUGGAUUUGAGUGAGUGGAAAGUGAAAUAAAAAACAACAUCUUACACAUUGUUUUGACACAAGGUUGACAAAUGCCUUGUUCUAACUCAAUCUUUUCUUUAACAGUUGAUUCUUAUGUUUUGUAGUAACUUUUUAUACAACUUUUGAGUACUGUGCGGUAUCUGUUUUAAAGUUUGGAAUAGUAGAGUUCUUUAUGUGACAAUUGUUACUUGUAACAUAGUAUUAAAUCUAGUUUUUCAUUGUGGUAUGUACUUUACCUUUUGGGUAAGGUUUCGGAGACGAUCUUGGCGAUCCACCAAUCUAAGAAGUGAAGUUGAGCUUGAGUUUGUGCUGUGCAAAUCGAGGUAAGGUUUAAUGGGGUGUUUUCUUUUAUUAUGUUAUUAUAUGAAUUGUAUGGUUAUUGCUUGAGUUGUUUGAUAUUGGAUUGUUUGAUAUUGAAUUGUUUGACAUUGAAUUGUGUGGCACUAUUUAAAUUAAAUGUGGAUGAUAUUAAGAUCUUGAAUUGAUUACGAUAUGUCUAUAUUUGAAAGCAUGAUCAUAUUACAUGAUAUUGUGGGGAAUGAGUGAGGUUGGAGGUGAAAAGGAGAAUGAGUGUUUGGGAGGAUAUGAGAUAUUACUAUUGAAAAACCUUUUGUGUAGUUGAGUUUCCUCAUGGGUUGUCCAAGAUCCACGCUAGCCCACACGUGCACAAGUUUGGGGAAUGUAGGCCCUUCGAUGGCGGAUAUCGAUAAAACGAUCUUAUCAGGUUUCGGGUUUGGAGACCAUGAGUAUACCAGAAUGACUAACAAAAGAGAAAAAUCUAUUUGAAAGUGAUGUGAGGUGUGGGAAGAGAAUUGAGUCAAUAUUAUAUUCAUGCAUUCUCGAUAUGCUAUGUUGUUUGUUUGCUUAUGUUUGAUGAUGUGUUAUUAAUAUUUUAACUAGCCCUACUAAGUGUUACUCACCCCUUUAUCAAACCCAUUGCAUGUGUGGUUCUUGAAGUGUAGGAAAAUUGUUAUUGUAAAUUAAGGCUUUCAAGUUUUUCUUUUGUAAGAUAGAGCUUGAAUAAAGAAUGGACAUUUUAGAAAUAAACGCUAUUCUUGUUUGUUUGUAACGUUUUAAACUUGUGUGCCUUAAGUGCCUUUUUAUAAGGCUUGUAAUAUAAAUAAAGGAAUAAUCAAGGUAUAAUCAAAUUUGUAAAAAGCUGGAACUAUAUUUUUUUUUAAAUUCUGCAUCAGUUACCUUUCUUUCUGAAAACCGUAUAGUUUUGUUUGGAAUUUGAAGUUAGUUUCUUCAUAAGAUUUGUAGUAGACAUCUUAAGGUUCAUUCCAGAAUUUGAAUCACUUGAAAACGAUUUUUGUAGAUUAAGUUAGGAUUUUUCAAAGUUUAAGGUUUGCAUCAGGAAAUUCUGCAGAUCAGUGUUUCUGAGAUUUUGGACCAGUUACCUUCUUUCGAAAAACUGUACAAAUAAGUUAAUUUUUUGCACUUGGUGUCUUCAUGAAAGUUACAGUAAACAUCUUAAAGAUCAAUUGAGAGUUGGAAUCUCUUGAAAAUAAGUUUUUUAGAAUUAGUUAUGAUUUUUCAAAGAUACAUGUCUGCUGUAUUUUUUUGAAACAACAGUCAAGUUCUUAUUUCUUUUACUAGCUAGCUUUUCUUUUCAUUCCAGUCAUACCUUCGACUCAAAAAAAAUAUAUAUCCGGGUUAGGGUGUGACAUGUUCGGAUUAGGACUCCUAUUAUCUAGAGUGGUGGUGGUGUUUGCUUAAGAAAGUGAAUGGUGUCAAAUUAAGUAGUUAUAUUCCAAGUAUGGUGACUCAGGACUCUCUCGAUUAAAAUUUUUCUUAUAUAUACAAAUAAGAUUGUAUGGCUGUGGUAGGCGGUAUGGCGUAAAUGGACACUCUUGCUACUCUUUGCCGGUUAUGACAUCAAUUUUGGUAAAGAGGUAGUUGGCAUAGUGACCGGUCAUCAGGUUUGUGUUUUCUAGGCCCACGUAAUUGUUUUCGGAACAAAAUUGAUGGUUAUGAUCUUAUUUUUAUUUUACCUAUGUACGUAGUUUUCAAAUACUUGCUAUAAAAUUAAUAUGUUAUUUACAUGUUUUUAAACCUAACCGGGGUGAAUUCCUUACUGAGUAGCGAGGACGAAAACUCACCCCUACAACAAUUUUGGAUGCAGGUACUGUGCACUUGAACGAGACAAUACUGGAGUGAGCUGGGUGUGCUAAUGAAAUUAUUUUACUCAUGAUUUGUUUAUAUUACUUUUUCAAGUUAUGUAUCCUUAAUUCAUUUUAAAUAUAAUUUAGUCUAGUAUAUUUCUAGGACAGUAAGUUGUUUCUAAGUUAACCUUUGUUUUCGUCAAAAUGUUCUUAAGUUAUAACGUAUUUGUGAAGGCAUUAAAAAUCGCCUCAAAUCUUUUA